GAGUUUGAUCCUGGCUCAGAUUGAACGCUGGCGGCAUGCCUUACACAUGCAAGUCGAACGGCAGCACGGGAGCUUGCUCCUGGUGGCGAGUGGCGAACGGGUGAGUAAUGCAUCGGAACGUAUCCUGGAGUGGGGGGAUAACGUAGCGAAAGUUACGCUAAUACCGCAUAUUCUGUGAGCAGGAAAGGCGGGGGACCUUCGGGCCUCGCGCUCUUGGAGCGGCCGAUGUCGGAUUAGCUAGUUGGUGAGGUAAAGGCUCACCAAGGCGACGAUCCGUAGCAGGUCUGAGAGGAUGAUCUGCCACACUGGAACUGAGACACGGUCCAGACUCCUACGGGAGGCAGCAGUGGGGAAUUUUGGACAAUGGGGGCAACCCUGAUCCAGCCAUGCCGCGUGAGUGAAGAAGGCCUCGGUUGUAAGUACUCG
rnacentral:rRNA from 1 species